rnacentral:rRNA from 1 species
GGACUACCCGGGUAUCUAAUCCUGUUUGCUCCCCACGCUUUCGCGCCUCAGCGUCAGUCUCGGUCCAGAGAGCCGCCUUCGCCACCGGUGUUCUUCCCAAUAUCUACGAAUUUCACCUCUACACUGGGAAUUCCACUCUCCUCUCCCGAACUCCAGCCCCGCCGUUUCGCGCGCACCUCCCAGGUUGAGCCCGGGGCUUUCACACGCGACCAGCGGCGCCGCCUACGCGCCCUUUACGCCCAGUAAAUCCGAACAACGCUCGCCCCCUUCGUAUUACCGCGGCUGCUGGCAC